ACUUUUGUUGUUCUUGAUGCAUUCUUCUCGUUUUAAAUCGGCCCCUUUUCAGAUUGUGUGUAGCCAUAAACGGCUUUUCUUCUUACAGGGGUAGCUAGCAAAGGACCAGCGUUCAGCGAGGAGCAUGAGCGGCAGUACGCUGAAGUAGGAGCACUGGCUCUUGUAAAAACUCUGCGGACUCGGGGGCUAGUAAAGAGGGAGAGAUGCCCCAGAGAGCAUACAGCUGUUUCGGUCGAGCGAGAGAGAGUUCUCCGGCGGCUGAAGAGUGGUUCUUGAAUCGGACAGAUGAUGUUCCAUCCUCUUUUCUGCCAAUCACCCAAAGAUGAGGACAACACCCAAACUGGCACGAUAACAGCACUGUAUAAGAAGAGGACCCAAUGGUUCCAAAAGGCCUGGUUUUGCUCUACCGCCGUCCUCCCAGUCUGCCGCAGCUAUUUGGACAGCAACAGGUGAAAAGGUGAGAGGAGAUUGCUGAAAUCCAUAUGACCAAGACGACAUGUCUGCCCAGGAGAUGGAUACCUCACCAGAUAUGUUUUCCCUACCAUGGUUGUGAUAAUUGGAUUUUCUGGACACCUGUAUGAGUGCAGUAUAUCCAGCGGAUUAUAACCAGGGAAAGGGAUAGGCUGCCCUACCGGCCAGGCCCAGCCAGCAGGAACUUCCCAUGGUCAACUCCGCUCUGCUCCGAGGGACUGAGAAUCCUAAUGAGCUGGAGGGGUCCACAUUUACCACGGCUGAUUAACUGAGAACAAUGAGGCCAAACAGAACUCACAGGCACUCACAAUAGUGACUAGAGAGCCUCAAGGCGUUGUCUCUGUAUUUUUUUGAGGGGAGAGAAAAUGAGAGAGUGUCUUUCUGACGUUCUUGAUGCACAUCCAACGAUGAGUGGGUGAUGGAGGUCCCUCUGCUGUAACCCUGACCUCCAGAGCAUAAUGACUGCUCCAAAGACAGGACCUAAGGAAAGAUGAGUCAAAUGAAACGCAUCUUGACACCACUGCUUCUGCUGCAAACAUGAUGGCAUGAUCUGCCUCUGUGAAGACAAAAACAAUGUACCUGUUGUGCAAUUCUCAUAUGGUUGGAUCAUAUGGUUCAUUUUGAAACGGUUAAACUGAAACAGUGAAACUUUUUACCAAUAGAGGCUACGCUGCUUAUGAUAUGAACUGUAUCGUCCGUUGAUGUAUUAUAUUUCAUGAUGUUACAUAUCUUCAAUAAAUUUAUUGGUGUCUUUGGUAGAAAUAUUGAGCAUUACAAUA